AUUGAACGCUGGCGGCAGGCCUAACACAUGCAAGUCGAGCGGAUGACGGGAGCUUGCUCCUUGAUUCAGCGGCGGACGGGUGAGUAAUGCCUAGGAAUCUGCCUGGUAGUGGGGGACAACGUUUCGAAAGGAACGCUAAUACCGCAUACGUCCUACGGGAGAAAGCAGGGGACCUUCGGGCCUUGCGCUAUCAGAUGAGCCUAGGUCGGAGUAGCUAGUAGGUGGGGUAAAGGCUCACCUAGGCGACGAUCCGUAACUGGUCUGAGAGGAUGAUCAGUCACACUGGAACUGAGACACGGUCCAGACUCCUACGGGAGGCAGCAGUGGGGAAUAUUGGACAAUGGGCGAAAGCCUGAUCCAGCCAUGCCGCGUGUGUGAAGAAGGUCUUCGGAUUGUAAAGCACUUUAAGUUGGGAGGAAGGGCAGUAAGUUAAUACCUUGCUGUUUUGACGUUACCGACAGAAUAAGCACCGGCUAACUCUGUGCCAGCCGCCGCCGUAAAAC
rnacentral:rRNA from 1 species